rnacentral:rRNA from 1 species
GAUGAACGCUGGCGGCGUGCCUAAUACAUGCAAGUCGAGCGAACAGACGAGGAUCUUGCUCCUCUGACGUUAGCGGCGGACGGGUGAGUAACACGUGGCUAACCUACCUAUAAGACUGGGAUAACUUCGGAACCCCGGAGCUAAUACCGGAUAAUCUAUUGAACCGCAGGGUUCAAUAUUGAAAGACGGUUUUGCUUUUACUUAUAGAUGGUUCCGCGCCGCCUUAGCUAGUUGGUGAGGUAACGGCUUACCAAGGCAACGAUGCGUAGCCGACCUGAGAGGGUGAGCGGCCACACUGGAACUGAGACACGGUCCAGACUCCUACGGGAGGGAGCAGUAGGGAAGCUGCCGCAAUGGGCGAAAGCCUGACGGAGCAGCGCCGAGGGAGUGAUGAAGGUCUUCGGAUCGGAAAAGUCUGUUAUUAGGGAAGAAGAAAUGUGUAAGUAACUAUGCACGUCUUGACGGUACCUAAUGAGAAAGCAACGGCUAACUACGUG